rnacentral:rRNA from 1 species
AUUGAACGCUGGCGGCAUGCCUUACACAUGCAAGUCGAACGGUAACGGGCCUUCGGGUGCCGACGAGUGGCGAACGGGUGAGUAAUGCAUCGGAACGUACCUUUCAGUGGGGGAUAACGUAGCGAAAGUUACGCUAAUACCGCAUAUUCUGUGAGCAGGAAAGCAGGGGAUCGCAAGACCUUGCGCUGAUUGAGCGGCCGAUGUCAGAUUAGCUAGUUGGUGAGGUAAAGGCUCACCAAGGCGACGAUCUGUAGCGGGUCUGAGAGGAUGAUCCGCCACACUGGAACUGAGACACGGUCCAGACUCCUACGGGAGGCAGCAGUGGGGAAUUUUGGGACAAUGGGGGCAACCCUGAUCCAGCCAUGCCGCGUGAGUGAAGAAGGCCUCGG